GCGGCGCUCCCGCUGCCCCCGGCCCGCGGGCAGCGCUCCCCAAAACGCCAGCCCGCCCCUCUCUCGGCACCCCGAGCCGGGCAACUUUGGAGGGGGCCGAGGAUGGGGAAACCCGGAAAAAACCCUCUUGGCACAGCAGAAGCUGAAACAUCUUCCCAGUUACCAGGACAGCCCUAUAGCAAGGAGUAAGUGAAAGCCCUGACCUUUGCAUUUGUGGAGCUCCUGCAACACAGAGCAGCUCUCUGACCAGGGAGUCCUUCACUCCCCCAGCAAGUUCCCUUCACACACAUCAAACUGACACGUGUGGAUCUCUGCCACCUUUUCCCAGAAUUCAUCAAAGGUCAUUUAUGGCAUUACAGAAUAUCCUGAGUUGGAAAGGACCCACAAGGAUCAUCAAAGCCCAGCUCCUCCAUUACAGCAUGGAUACAUGACAAGACCACAUUGCAUUACAAAUAUCUCUCAUUUUUCCUUUGGGAUCUGUCCUAAGCAUCUACUUGGAAGGCAUCCUAAUUUUUUCUUGAUCUAUGACAAACUCUGGGCUGCAGUGAGUACCUGUCAGAGCAGGCUUAAGGGACUUUGGUUCUUUCUGAAUGAGCCUGGCAGAAUCACAGUGAAGCAGAGAAUUUAGAGCAGAGGGGCCUGACAGUGAGGUGCAUAACAUGGUCUUAUGAUGCACGGUCCUGUCUCUACUCACUAGAUUUACUGUAAAAGCUGGGCAGGAAUUAUUUUCUGAUGCACAAUAUGCAGGAACAUGAUAAAGUAUUUCAAGGCAUUAUAGGACACAGCCCUAGAAGACAAAAAUGGUUUAAAGAAAAUCCUCUUGCAUUUUAAGAGCACCACCUACAAGGAAGACUCCACAUCAAACACACAGUUUCAAGAGCUUCUCAGGUAUCUCAUCAACCCCUUGAAGCUUGUGUUAGUUACAGUGCUAGAGCUUUACCUUUAUUUAAUGACCUGAUGAAUUAAAACACUGGUGGUUGCUUUAAUCAGCGAUUUAAUGAAUGUAUCAUCAUAACUAAAUGAGUAUUAAUUACCAUAUACCACCCUUGAUUAUCAGAGAAAAAUAGAAAUCAAGAUGUUUUGUGGUUUCAAAUGUUACUAUAAGUGUUCCUGCUGGUAGCUUACGUGGACUUGAUUUAAGGUUUGUGGUAAAUUCUUCCCUUACCCCUGAAAACCCCUAAGCAACAUUCUGUCAGAUCUACCAACUUUGCCUGUCUGAGGGAAAAAAGCUAUAAAUUAGCAUUUAUUUCUACUUGCAGUAUAAACCCAGAUUUAUAUGAAGCUUUACAGGCCUCAGCAAGUCUGGAUAAACAUGGCAUGAAAGGAGUUUUAUAAAAAAAGCCCAGCCUAAGAAGAAGUCAUCCUGGUCCAUGAAGUUUUUGAAGCAAAGCUAUUUUUCAGUGACAAAUGCUCUGAUGAAAAUAAAGUGUGGUUCCUUCUUAAAUGUAUUCUCACCUAAAGCCCUUUCAUUUCAAUGACAGCAAUGGAUAAAACAAUAACAAAAACAAGUGCAAAGGGUGGCUAGAAUAAUGUACAAGGGUUGGCACUUAGGUGUUCAAGUGCAAAUUUAUCUUCGAUUUCAGUUUGAUAAGUACGGGCCCUGUGACUUUUAAAAGUGUGUCCCACAGCCCCCCUAACAAACAAGUUGUCAGGUUUUUUCAAAAUCUGUCUUUUCAUAACAAGAAUGAUUGACACACUUCAGAUGUGCAACCUGAUCAGCUUCCAGACACUUAUUAGUCUCUCAGUGCAGGAGAAGCAGUGAACUAUUCUGCAAAAGGUCAUUUCCCUUUUUAAAGUAGUCAGAAACCUGCCUUUGACAUUGAAUCUUUUCCUCAUAAAUAAGCAUAGGAAAGAUUUUUGUCUGAUAUUUUGUUCCUUCAGCACUGUGCAGUGUUCACUGAAAUCGGGUAUGGAGAGGCACUGAGUUGGUUUGUGUGGGGUUUUUUUUCCAGAAGGGAAGCAGUAAACGUACCCAUAAGGCUGGUGAGAUUAUUUAACAUUUAACCAGUGUAUGCCACUUUCAUUUAUCUGUCCUAUGGUGUCUGGAUGCUACAGGAUGCCUGAGAAACAGCUCAAGUUCUGUGAACAGAGUUCUAUAUUUAAAAAAAUUCAUAUAUUUACCUUUCUAGUGAGCUAUUAGGUAUUUGGCCAGCCUGACUGUUAUCAAGAACUGUCUCUUUUACUCUCAUAGUUCUCCCUCAAGUCUCAGCAGACAUGGUUGAUAAAAAUGAAAAUAAAUCACUGCAGUUUCUAACUGUU